rnacentral:lncRNA from 1 species
AGAAGAUGAUGUUACUUUCAAUAUGACAGAAGGUGGAUGAAGUGGUGGACUGCCCCUCCACACCUGUGGACACGCCCCCACUGAUAUUCCUUCUAAUUGCAGCGUGGGAGAGGAGGAUAUGACACGCGAUAUCGCAGGGAGUAGAAACACCCCUGUGAUACUGUUCUUAAUAUUCAGGGAGGAAGAGGAUGAUAUUACUCCCAAUACAGACGGGUGUACACCCUCUGUACACCGAGGGUGUACACCUGUCUGUGAAAGAGUUCGUAAUCUCCAGAGGGGGAGAUGAUAUUACUCACAAUAUGGUAAAGAGGCUGUGAGUCCACGGAGGAUCCUCAGAGCCAGCGGGGGAAGAGGGGCUGGCUCUCAGUCCCCGCCUCGCGGGGGUGACUCCCCCCAGUGCGAUGGGGGUCCUAAGAGCCAGUGGGGGAAGAGGGGCUGGCUCUGAGACCCCGCCUCGCGGGGGGUGCCUCCCCGCCCUGUGAUGGGGGUCCGAAGAGCCAGAAGGCUUAGAGGGGCUGGCUCUCAGUCCCCGCCUCGCGGGGGGUGCCUCCUCCCCCUGCGAUGGGGGUCGUAAGAGCCACUGGGGGAAUAGGGGCUUGCUCUCAGUCACCGCCUCGCGGGGGGUGCCUCCUUUCCUUUCUACAUAGACACAGUGACAGUCUGAUCUCUCUUUCUUUUCCCUACAGAUGGACACGCCCCCACUGAUAUUGUUUUUAAUGCAGCGUGGGAGGGGAGGAUAUGACACGCGAUAUCGCAGGUAGUAGAAACACCCCUUUGAUAGUGUUCUUAAUAUUCAGGGAGGAAGAAGAUGAUGUUACUCCCAAUACAGACGGAUGUACACCCUCUGUACACCGAGGGUGUACACCCGUCUGUGAAGGAGUUCGUAAUCUCCAGAGGUGGAGAUGAUAUUACUCACAAUAUGGUAAACAGGCUGUGAGUCCAUCGCGGAUCCUCAGAGCCAGGUGGGGAAGAGGGGCUGGCUGUCAGUCCCCUCCUCGCGGGGGGUGCCUCCCCCACUGCUAUGGGGAUCCCAAGAGCCAGUGGGGGAAGAGGUGCUGGCUCUCAGUCUCCGCCUCGCGAGGUGCCUCCCCACCCUGCGAUCGGGGUCCGAAGAGCCAGGGGGGAAGAGGGGCUGGCUCUCUUCGUGGAUGAUUCUUUUUCCAUUCUCAGGCAGUUUUCUUUUUUCUUUCUUUCUUUUUUUUUUUUUUUGAGACUGAGUCUUGCUCUGUUGCCCAUGCUUUGCUCGAUCUCGGGUGACUGCAACCACUGCCUCCCAGGUUCAAGAGAUUCUCCUGCCUCAGCCUCCUGAGUAGCUGGGACUAGAGGCGUGUGUCACCACACCCAGCUAAUUUUUGUAUUUUUAGUAGAGAUGGGGUUUCACCAUGUUUGCCAGGAUGGUCUCUAUCUCCUGCCCUUGUGAUCCACCCACCUCAGCCUCCCAAAGUGCUGGGAUUGCAGGUGCGAGCCACCGGGUCCAGCCUCUCAGGCGAUUUUCAUACCUGCAUACUCUGGUCACUACUCUGUUAAACAGUCAAGGAGGGUAAGUAUUAUCUUCAGAUUUCCAGAGCUCUGUCUCUGUACAGCCCUCUCCUCCUCAAUAUUCUGCCCUAUGAAUUCUAGCCACAUUGGCCUUCCCAGGCUCACAGUUCUGUCUUCUCAACUCAGGAAGAUCUCUGAGUUCCAUCUGCAUUCUUUCUUCCUGUGCUGUGGCCUGGAAAGUUUUCUAAGGUGUUAGGGAGGUCAAUUGUGGGGCUAGCCUCAUUUGUUUCUCAUCUCUUGAGGAUCACUGCCCUUUGAUGCUUGAUUCCAGUGAUUGAUUCCCUUUGUUGCUUGAGGGCCAUAGUUUCAUAUAUUUUGUCCAGUAGUUUUGUUGUUUUAGGUCAGAAAGUAAUUUUGGUCUCUGUUACUCUAUCUUGGCCAGAAGUGUAAGACCUAAGCAUUUACACAUCAAAAUACUGCACACAUAAUUUUAGUUUAAGCUACUUUUUAAAAAAUCUCCUUCAUUUUCCAUUUAGCAUUCUAUUUAGGGUAUUACAUUGGUUUUUUUGAAAUUCUGUUAUUGGCAGUUUCUAUUGCCUAUCAAUCCCAUUUAAAGAUAGUGCAUAGGGUAUUCUAAAAUAGCUGUUAAGCAAAGAGAAAAUUGGGCCUGAUAGGGUGAGAAUCACAGCUCUAAUACCUAGAGUGACCUUAUAAUGUAUUGUCCAAAGGAGAUAUUUUUGACAGUGAAAGAGGGUGUUGUUAGUAAUUAUAUCAGGACCAUGGCCUAAACCAGGACUAUCCCAGGAAGCCUGGGACAUAUUUGUACCCCAUCUCUAUUUAAUGCCUUUAUACAAUUCUUUACUUAAUUCUACCAGCCUUUAUUGAGCCUGCUUUCUUUGUCUAGCUGAGUGCCACGUGCUGACGUCACUAAGAUCAAUACAGCAAACUCUGAAAGAUGGACAGAGAGACAGGAGAUGGUCCUUUAUAAUGCAGUGUGAUCUGUGCUGCAAUAGAGAUGGAAGAGUGUUCUGAUCGGCUGGAAAACAACGCACAUGGGAAGCUGUACAGAAAUGAGUGGGGAAAGUUUUGGAAGCUAGAAGUUCAAAACGAGGUGUUGGCAGCACCAUGCUCUCUCUGAAGAUGCUAGGAAGAAUCUGCUCCAUGCCUUUCCAUUCGCUUCUGGGGUUUCCUGCAAGCCCUGACAUUCCUUGGCUUGUAGAUGCAUCACCCCAGUUUCCGCCCCCAUCAUCACAUGGCCUCCUCUCUGUGUGUGCCUCUGCGUUCCCUCUAUUCUUCUUCUAAGGACACCGACACCAGUCAUAGUGGAUUAAGUGUCCACUCCUAACCAAUUACAUCUGCAACAACCCUAUUUCCAAAUAAAGUCACAUUCUAAGAUUCCUAGGGAGAACAUGAAUUUUUGGGGGUGUGUGGAUACUGUUCAACCUGGGACAUGGAGUAAAUAAAUGGCAAGGAAGAUUACAGAUGACUUUAAGCUAAAGAGGGAGAUAGGGUUAAAUGUAGGACUUUUUUUUUCCAGGACGGGAGAGGUUUAAACAUGUUACUACAUUGAAUAAAUGAAAUAACCA